GCGCCAGUAGCUCAAUUGGCAGAGCAACUGACUCUUAAUCAGUAGGUUCGGGGUUCGAUUCCCUGCUGGCGCA
rnacentral:tRNA from 1 species